GACAAACGCUGGCGGCAUGCCUAACACAUGCAAGUCGAACGGACAGACCAGGGAAGUUUUUCGGAGUGGAACUGGAAAGUUAGUGGCGGAUGGGUGAGUAACGCGUCGUCAACCUACCUUGUAAAUUGGAAUAACCUCGAGAAAUCGAAGCUAAUAUCCCAUAAUAACUUUGCUUCGCAUGAAGUAAGGUGGAAAGGCGGCCUUUGCGCUGUCGAUAGACGCUUGGUCUGCGUCUUAUUAGCUAGUUGGUGAGGUAAAGGCUUACCAAGGCGACGAUCAGUAGCCGGCCUGAGAGGGUGAACGGCCACAUUGGAACUGAGACACGGCCCAGACUCCUACGGGAGGCAGCAGUAGGGAAUCUUCCGCAAUGGGCGAAAGCCUGACGGAGCAAUGCCGCGUGAGUGAAGAAGGCCUUCGGAUUGUAAAACUCUGUUAUUAGCGAAGAAAGAGUGUUGAAGUAACUAACAACACUAGGACGGUACCUGAGCAGAAAGCCACGGCUAACUAUGUG
rnacentral:rRNA from 1 species